CGAAAGAAGUGAAGGGGAGCUGAAUUAUGCAAAUGUAGGUUGCGGCAGCAGGACUCGGGUUACGGCCCCCGCCGGCCUCCGAGGUGAGGCACCCACCUCAGCAAGCGCGGGCGAGGCGACUGCUAGCGCUUCGCUCCUCUCCACGCACAUGGGCGGGCAGGCGGGCGAGUCUCCGGGGCCGCCCCGCGGCGGGUGCUGUUGGCAACCCCGCCGGCGGCCACCUCCCGCCACCCGGAGGGGGAGCUCCUGGACGCCCGAGUGCCGAGCGAGCCGGGCGCAGAGGACACAACGCAAGCUGGGGCAGCCUGGGCGAGGGAGAAACGCGGGUCUUUGGCUGCUACCCUUCCAGAAGGAGAAGGCUGAGUAGGGUCAGAUAGGGCAGGGGACGCCACCGAGGAGAGGCGGGCUUGCCAGGUCCGUCUGAAAGCACGUUGGAGUAAAUGGGAGGGACUGACCCUCUAGAAUGAUUCGGAGCUUUCCAGCAUCUCACACCUCCCUUAAGAGCUGCGCCACCUCAAGCCCGCGGUGCGCCGGGGGUGAGUUGGGGGCAGGGGCGACCAACAGCGUCUGGAAGGCUAUGCGGGCUCCCAGGAGAGUGCCUGGAGCCAGUGCUGGGAGGCCAUCCCUGAAACUCCGCUGUAAACGAGUGAAGAAGUAUGGCUUUUCCAGUACAAACACAUCAUGUCAAGCCUGCAGAUCACUUUUCGAAUGCUGGCAAAAUAUAAAAGAUGAGAGAAGUAAGGCUCAGAGAGGAUACAGAGCUUACCCAAAUUCACACAAUUUGGAAGUUGCAGAGACAGAAUAUGAAAUCUAUUCUCUCAAUUGGAAAAGCCCACAUCUUUCAAGUACAUCAUGUGACACAUAGCACCCACAGCAGAUAAGAAUGAGGAAACUGAGUCACCAAAGCCCAAGCCAUGGAGCUACCUAAGUGGAAGUGCCAAGAUGUGAACCCAAGCAAUCUGACUCUGUUGCCUGUGCUCCCAGUACCUUCCCUAGCCUGUGAAACCAGACAAGCCACUUAACCUCUCUAAGCCUCAUUUUCUUCAUCUUUACAAUGGGGUUGGGCAUGUCUCCUUCAACUGCUCUUGGCCAGAAUAUCAUGGUGAAUCAAAGAAACAGGAUCAAGAAUACAUUCUGAAAAGCAGAGUACCAUCUGCAGGUCUGGUCACUAUCUCCCAGAGCCUUUGUUUGGGUUGCAGGACUUUCAGCACAGAAGUGGAUGCGGACUGGGAUAAGACAGGAGGCAAUGUUUAUGAUUCGAGAUCAGGGACAAGACAUCCAUGAUUGAACUUUCUAGCCUGUUUGCUUGCUGACCAAUCCGAAGGCCCUUCACAGUGGCUUUUUAUCCCCCCACCCACUGAGGAUGCUCCAGAUCUGUGUACUGCUCUUGGUUCUGAGACGGGGUUGGGGAAGGUACCCAGGGGGACUGGGAGCCUUUGGAAUGAGUCUUUGGCAGGUCUGUUUUUUCCUGGUGCUAAUAACAAUCCUAGACACAUGUUCACUCCUUCUUGGAUCCUAAUAAUUAGCUAGAAUGCAUCUUUCUGCUCAAGGGCUGUUGUGCCUGAGAAAAUAUUGUGAUCGCCAUUGAUAAUAGAACAGUUUCAAUCAAUGGCCUUGUGAGAGCACAAUCAGAGCCUCCCCAGAGACCUGGCACCUCCCAGCAUUUUAGAAUUAGAAAGUUUGCUUUUUAAAAAUAUGAUUAUUUAGGAUACAGACUGUGGAAACUCCAGAGAAAGGAAAACUAGAUCCUUUCUUUUUUUCUGUUUGUAUUUUAUAAACAAGAGACACCAAAGACAUGACUGAAAUGACCAUUUUAGCGUCUUCUGUUUUGUUCUGUUGAUCAGAAAUUUAGAGACGGACAAUGUAUUAACAAGACACUUAUUUUCUUGCUUUUCCUGCGUUUCAGGCUUUCCAUCACAAAGCUGUUUCAUGUAAUGGCAACUUGAGUGGAAUGUAACAACAAAAAAAAUGGAAAAUGGUAUCUGGAAGCCCAAUAUGUAUAUCUGUAUUAGGUAAAAGCUGUUGGUUUCAGUGGAACUGGAGUGGGCUUGACUCCUUCCACUCCAUGCAAAUUCCCCAGGAUCUAACAUCCACUGCUGUGACUUAUGGAGCCAGUCCACAACAUGCUAGGGCUGGGGCUACUUCGCUAGGUGAACGAGAGAGCAAGUGAAACAUAGACGUGGGCCUGUCUCACUUCCAAAUGCUGGGACAAGCUUGCGGUGUUUGUUAAUCUAUAUGCCAGGUACUGUGUGAGAUGCUUGAGAUGCAUCAGUAAAUAUGACUCCUUGUCUUCAUGUAGCUUAUAACCUGGAAGUUCUUGUGUUUUUAAUUCCAAGAACCAAAAGAGAGAAAAACUCAGUUUGUAAUACCUUCCCUUGUCUUUAGCCAGAAUCACAUUUAAGCCACCCAAACUCAGGUACAAAUCUCUCAUAAGGCCUUUAGAGAAAGAAUAUCAAACUUGCUUUGGUAACAUAUUCUAGUGUUUAACACACUUAUAAGACAUUCUUCAGAGAUGGAAAGCACCCCCUUUAUAUUCUGCAUUUUAUUUUGUUUUCUCCUCAGGAAAAAUGAAAGUAGUCAUGAAGUUCAGAGUAAGAACCAGUCAUAAGCUGGAAUAUAUAGUCCUUACCCUUUUCUGUUUAACACAGAAAAAUUUGAGUUCCUGUAGCCUGCUCUCAGAACUUUGCCUUUUGAUCCUUUCACCAUCCAUGUCAACUCUUUGAUGAGCUUCCUAAUUUCCCACACUUCCCAGUGCAUGUAAAGCCUCAUAAGACAUUUUAUGUGCCACACCACCCUUUCCAAGUCCUUUCACACCUUUGAGACUUGAAAUAUAACCCCGUGAUGGUGGCAAGGCCACGGUCGCCUUCCCCACUGCCCGCAGAAGCCAGGUGAGACCCAGAGAGGCCAAGUUACUUACCUAAGUUCACAGAGCUAGUAAGGAGGCAGAGCCAGCAUUCCCAGACAGGUCACCAGGUGCUGAUGUUGAGACCUCUGUGUAGUUCUAGCUUCACUCAUUGGUUGGGAAGCCUCACGCAUGUGAAAGCUUGUGACAUCCCUAACACGCUUGGAUGGCUGGUGGCCAGUUAAUAUUUAGGUCAUAUGAUUGCUUCCAUAGGUGUGCGCAGGCCCUGUUCUGCACCCUCGUGUCAUCUUACCCCCAACAGGAAAGACUGGAAGCAUACUUCAACAGUAACAACUGACCAACCAGAUUCUAGCCUUCCAGGUCAUCAAAGGUGGUUCAAGGCCACCAGCCCCAAGUCCAUCCUUAUGGUCCUCAUUUGUCCCAUUUCUGUGAGGCUAGCACUGACUCACUGGUCACCGCCCUCCGGGUUAUCAGUCUGUGGUGCAAUCAGAAGAUACUCGUGUGUGGGGUAGCUGCAAUGUGGUUGGGUCUACCCUACUGGGAUGACCAGCCUGACCAGGGGGUGGAGACAAAUUCAUCAGCUUCAUCAACAGAAGGCCUUGAUGGAUUUGUUUUAUCUAAACUUAGCUAACCUAUGUCACAGUCUGCUCAAAGAUGGUCACCAUAGUAUUUUCAGGUGAAAUCUUUUGUGAUUAUGGCUAACAUUUGGCCAAUUUUAACUUGUUUCUCUAAUGGGUAACACACCUCCCCCCAUUUCAUUCCUGCCCAGAGGGUUGCUAGAGGAUGAUUAAUACAAUGGAAGAAGGUGACGUGCAGACCCAAGAACCGGCCAGGAAUUGUGCUGGUCCAUCUUCAGAUCUGACUCAUCAGAAUCCCAGUCCCAAUAAUCUGUAUUGAAAUAGCACCAACAAAGAAAAUAACCUUUUAAAAAGUUAAAUUUGUUGCUGAGCUGACUGCCAAUUACAGUUUUAAAAAUCCACACUCCUUACCAUGGCCUACAAGUCUUUACAUGCCCUGGCUUACCCCUCUCCUCCACCAACAACUCUGUCCUCUUUCUCCCUGAUUACUUAACUAUCUCAAGCUCAUUCCCAUCCCAGAGCCCGUGUGCUCAGUACUCCCUUUGUCUACAAUGGAUCCUGCCCCAACCCUUUAAUCAUCCCCAGGCUAGUCCUUCUGCAAUAGACCAAAUGUUUGUGUUACCCCCAAAUUCAUUUGUUGAACUCUAAUGCCCAGUGUGAUGUAUUUGGAAGUGGGACCUUUGGGAGGGGAUUAGGUCAUGAGGGUGGUGUCUUCAAAAAUGAGAUUACUGCCCAUAUAAAAGAGGCUCCAGAGAGCUCCCUUGCCUCUUCCACCAUGUGAGGACACAGUGAAAAGACAGCCAUCUGUGAACCAGAAAAUGGGUUCUCACCAGACCCUGAAUCUGCUAGCAUCUUGACUGUGGACUUCACAGCUUCCAGAACUGUGAAAAAUAAAUUUCUUUUGUUUAUUAGCUACCCAGUUUAUGGUAUGAUGUUAUAGCUGCCCAAGCAGACACUUUCUCAUUCAGCUCUGAGCACAAGCCUUCCCUUCCCAACCCUCCUCACUCCUCCCUCAUUACUCUGUCCAUUUCUGUGCACUGUUCUUGGUGCUUGGCAUACAUGAGGGUAAGGCCCAUAGCCACCUUAACCAUCACUGUAUGCAAACCCCAAGAAUAGUGCUAACAUAGAGGAGUAUGCAGUAAACAUUUGCUGAAUGAAUGGAAUGCAUGAGAAAUGGUCAGCCCGGUUUGGGCUCCACUGCCUUAAUAAGGUUCCUUUCCCUCCCUGGCUCCCAGUUCCCUAUUUUUAAAAUAGAAGUAUUAGUUUAUGUAGCAUCUAAGGCCCCAAUACAGCUUUGGCAGCCUAUGAGCUGGCCCUGAGGACCCGUGGGGAGUCCAACGGGCGGCAACCUGAGCAUCACCCCAAGCUGCUCUAUGCUUUUGUAAAUAAUGGUAGCAUCUGGAGUCACAAUAAAGCAAAACAGAUUAGCGCCAUGGAAGAGGCCUCUGUCCUUCCAAAGAGAAACAACUCAGGCUUUGCUUUUUCCUAGGAAGAGGUCAGAUAAUUCUGAUAGGAAUUGUUGUCUACAAAAUCUCAUUGAUUGAAUCUUGUUUCCUUGCUCGUGCUAAGGCAUUUGCAAACAAAUGUAGCAAAUCAAUUUCCAGACAUAUACUUGAGUUAUGCUUAGAAGGUAGACUUAACUGAAUCUGAAAAUCCAGGGGUCUCUUUUUACAUUUAUAAAUAAAGUGAUUUAUUGUUUUUCAAUCUUUAGGUAAGACCCAAGGAUUCCAUUAAUUCUUUGAAAGGGAUGUUCCACUUAAAAUGAUACAGAAUAUAAUGGAAAAGAGACAGUUAGUAAAAGGAAAAGAAAUGAUUUUUCUACCUAAUUAGAGUACAGACACCUAAAGUAAUUUGUAUUCUUUGGUCUAAGGCAUUUAGGGCUGCAUAUCGUUUUUGAAUGAAUUCUGCUAAAUUUCAGUAAAUACCAUUGUUAUCAAAUUUGGCUUUGAAUACACUAAUAGCACUUCUGUAGGCUUAUUUUAAUUUCAAUGAUGUAUUUUAAUUUAGGCUAUAGAAAUGAAACUACAAUUUAUAUAAUUUUUAGAAAAUCAAAAAUAAGUUGACCAAGAAUAGGUUGGCUUAAUUGGGGCCUGGUUGUUUAAAAACACACACAAAUCUAUGUGUGAGGUAAAGAGAAAAUGGAUGUACAAAGAAAGAAGUCAAUUUUUUUAUUGUCAUGUUCCAAAAGAAUAAUAGAUUUCACAUGUAAAUUGUAACUGACAGUUAUAUCAAUGUCACCUGGUAGAAUUGGGGGGCCAGUGCUGAAAAAAUAAUCCACUAAGUAUUUUGGAGGCCUAGCAGGUGGUAGGCCCCUUGCCAGAGGUUAUAGGGAAUGAAAGAUGAAUCAGACAGAGUCUCUGCCUCUUGGAACCAGUAGUCCAAGAAAGAGGUAAGGCAAGUGCAUAAAUAAAUAGAAUACAUGAAAGGCACUAUCAGAAAUGUUCAAAAAUGUUGUUAUGGGGUCCCAAGAAGGGGGAGACCUAUCACAGGUAUGGUAGGUGGGAAUCAGAUAAGGCAAAGCACAUUAAGGUUACUCAUUUUUCAGAUUCAGCUGGAGCCAUGUCAGUCAUAGAUCAGUACCCCUCUCUACCUUGCACCUAAUACAGUGGCAUGGCUGUGGGAAAUGACCAAUAAACAUUGAUAAAUUAACUAAUUUGUUGAUAUGCAAUAAAAGACAAAGGAACCAUAUUCCAAAUGUAUGCAAUAGCAGCCAAUUGGUGGAAUUAAUGGAUCCCGGGGACUUACUUGAAGACUGGUAAAAAAAUGUUUGGCUACAUAGUUGCAAAUGCACAAAUGUACGUUCUGUAUGUACUUAUCACCUUUUGUUUUCUGGGCAAACAUUAUUGAACCCAGUCAAGAAAGAAGAAAUACACAUUUUUGUGCAACCUACUCAAAAAUGAAGGAGGCUACAUUCAGAAGCAGCUAAAUGUUCUUUUUCCAUCAAAAUGCUCUGAUAAUUAUUUCACAUACACCUCACCAAAAAGUGGUUAUGUGACUCUGUGAAGGGAGAAGUUGGGCCCCAAGUUGUGCCAGCUUGGUUUUAUAUAAUAGGCAGAAAUGAAAGUUCAGCCUUGUGCAGAGGGCUGUCAGUCUAGAGGACCCUUCAGGAUAUGGCAGGUUCCUAAACAGAGAAUUUCCCCACCCACCUUAAGCCCUUGCCCCUGGCCCCUUCACAGUUGCUCCGCCAUUGACUGAUAAACUUAGGUCUGGGUGCUCUGUGCAGGCAGCUCCUCUGGCAUCCAAGGCCCCUGCUAGAAAUGAACCAUGAGAAACAAUCAGCCUGUGAAUUUUAGUUUGUCACCUCUUCUUGCACCUCCACAGGGCUCCUGGAACUGAGAACUCACUUGAGCUACAGUCACUAAGUUUGCAGAGCCGGGGAAAGCCCAUUUCGUAGCGGGUGUCCCUUUGCAUUAGACUGGGGUGCCAGAAAUCAGGAACUGGGGGCACACACAGGGCCUUAGCACCUACUCUGCCCCUGCCUUGUACGUAGCUUCUCCCUUAGUGAGAACCUGGGGAAGUCUACAAUGAAAGUCUCUUGAUAAGGCAGUUGAUAGGAAAGACAGAAACCUGUGCCUGGCUCUGGCCCACAAAGUUUCUACUUGGAGUAGAUUUUCAGAACAGAAAAUUGAUUAUUUAAACUUCCAUGAAUUAAAAAAAAAGAAUGGACUUCAGUUGGUUCUGUCUCAGUGAUUUUAAUUAACUUUCAGAAAUCUACAGCAAUAAUUGUUACCUAUGAUGCUAUUACAGAUAAAAUGUGAUGGGCAUAGAUAAAAUUAAAUGUUAAUUGGUAUAAUUACCCACUUAAUAUUUUAAGAUUUGUUAUCUGUAUUUCUCUGCUUUUAGUUUAUUAUAUACUGCAGUUCAAUAUGAAGUUUUUUUUUUUAAAGAACUUUCUCUUCAUCUCCACUAAGUUAUUUUUCACUUUGACUUCUCUAGUUAUUAGUCAGAGAUAUAAUAAUAAUUUUUCUUAAAGUGCAGGCUGCAACUGAGAAUUUCCAAAUUUCAGUGACUCAUCUCUGGAGCAGUUAAGUCAUUUAUCCCCAAACCUCAGACUCAGACGUUGUGCCAGGAAGGGGAUUCAGGAUUCCCCAUCCUUGUCACCAAGCAUCAGUACCAUAACCACGUGGGAUGGCUGUCAUUGGCCAGUCAGUGUGAGCUGCUGUAGUGCCUGCAAGAAGGCCUUGGAGAAGGUCUAUAAUUUUCAUUUCCCUCUAACCAGUAGCUCACAUGGUUACUAUGUCAGCAUCAUUGGACACAUCAUGCUGCAAACUUAUGUCCUAUUGCCUAACAGUGUGGCUCAGUGCUAAUCUUUCAAACUUCAGUCAUUUUUAUUCUGCACUAUUAUUCACUUUAUACUUUUCUUUAAAUGACUUAAUGAAUAAGUAUAUUUUUAAAGGAAAACUUUAUAUUACUACUGCAAAGUAGAAACCUGUAUCAUUUGACAAAAUAAAAAUUAAUCAUAAGAUUAAACACAUUGGAGUUUCCAGCCAACCCAGUGAAGUGGCUGCUGAUGCUCAGAUUCUGGAAUAAAAAAGAUCAAAUGUGGGGAAACUAGCUCACUGUUUAAGAGCAAAGGCUGAGACAAACUCUCACUACCAUUUUAUAUAAUGUGUAUAAAAAAAAAUUGACCCCUGUCUGAGGUUAUGGCUCAAAGAAGUGUGUAAAGAUAGACACAGCCUUAUGAAUAGGACUUCAACCAUGCCACCAGCUGACUAGUGUAUCUGAUGUGUGAAUGAAAUAACAAUAGGAACAAAGAAAAAAAACUGAUUAGAAAUCUUGGAAAUAGAAAAUAUGCUAGUGGAAGUAAUAAAACAACUUAAUAAAAUAAAAAUCAGGGCUAGAGAUAUUCAGAGAGAGUAUUAUUAAAUGGGAACAUAUUACUGAAGAUUCACUAGAACAUGACACAGAAAAAAUGUGAAGAUGAGGUAGAAAAGGAAGAAACAAAAAGCAAAAAGAAAGCUCACCUCUUCAGUGAACUUUUUGUAAGUUCCAAGACAAGAAAGAAAAGAAUUGUGGAAAAGCAUUAUAUGAAGAGAGAAUACUUGCAAAUUUUAGCAUGAUGACCUAAGGUUGAAAGUGUGUUGUAAAACGCCAUUCACACACAGCUCUUUGGCUUACACUACCAUUCUCCACCAAAAGGAGCCAGAGCUCCUUAGAAAUGGCUGAUUCAGGGCCUGGGGCAGGAAAUACACGAGAUGAGCCUGAAGUAUCUUGUAUUUCCCAAAAGUAAGAUAAUAAUAGGCUAAACAAACAAAAUACAUUGUGGGAGGUACGUCAAAGAGAUACAGGAGCCAACUGAAAGAGCUCCUAAGGACCAAAGCUGAAACAGCUUGAACAACAAAAUAAAAUAUUGAGCUAUAACCCAAAGAAUACAAAUACCAUGAGUCCAUACUGAUAUAAAUAAAUAAGGAGAUGGAGGAGAAUAGACAAAUCUCCUAUGCCAAAAAUUCUAAAUAACUUACGUAGAUACUUUGCCCUUGAGGAGGAGACUCAGAAAUCCUUAUUACUUAAGCAUGGGUUUCACAGAGUGACUACCUCACAAGGAGAACCGUAUGGAAAGGGAGGGGAAAAAACAAUAACUUCAUAGGGAGAAACCUGACCAACAUUACCUCAAGUCAGGUGAUCAAGGUUAAUAUCAACAGUAAUAAGUCAUACUGAGAGUAUGUACCCUCACUAUGAUGUGAUGAGAAUGGCCCUCCACUGAGUGAUCUUCCAAAAAACACAUUAUUCCAGGAUAAUUAUGGGGAAAACAUUAGACAAAUCCCCUUUUGAGAUACAUUCUAUAAAAUUCCUGACCAGUAAUCUUCAAAAUUAUGGAGGUCAUCAAAAAUGAGAAAAGCCGAAGAAACUGUCACAACCAAAAGGAACCUAAGGAGACAUAAGAGAGCAUGUAAUGUGCUAUCCUGGUGCAGAGAAAAAAGGGCAUUAGGGAAACUUGAGAGAAUAGCCAUAUAGUUUGGACUUUAGUUAAUAAUAAUGUAGCAACACUGUUCAUUAACUGGGGACAAAUGUACCAUAAUAAUGCAAGAUAUUCAUAAUUGAGGAAACUGAGUGUGGGGUAUUUGGAAACUCUGUACCAUCUUCUCAAUAACUCUAUACAUAGAAAACUGUCCUAAAAUUAAGUUUCUUGUUUUUAAAAGUGCAAGUGACCAAGCAAGGCUAAACAGAGACUCACUGGAAUUGGAAUAAAAUAUAGAACAUCAAGGAUAAUGAGACCAUUCUAACAGCAGCCAGACUAAAAAGACAGUUUACCUACAACUAUAACUAAGGUACAGUUAAACUUAUUUAAUCAGCAGUAAUAGAAGCCACAUAACUGUGGAGAUAAAUCAUAAAAGCACUGAGAGAAAACAAAAUAACAGUCAACUUAGAGUUUUAUACCCAUAUAAACCAUUAUCAAAGGCAAAAUGAAGCCAUUUUCAACAUAAUAUUUACUAUUUACAUAUCUUAAUUAAACUAACAAAAGAUGCACAUGAAGAAAGAUAAUUUUGAAGAAUAAUUUAGUUGGAGGUGGAGGAUCUAUACUUCCAGAUUUCAAAAUUUAUUAUAAAAUUGCUCUAUGUUAAAAAAAAAAGAUGAAUUUUUAUACCAGAAUACACCUCAAGUUCAAAGUCUCAGUAUUGCUGGAAGGCCAAUGGAACAGAUUAGGAUCUAAA